GGAAGGAUCAUUAUCGUACAACGAGGGAGGCCCGAGGGCUGUCGCUGACCCCCUUCUGAAGCGGGGGGGGGUCGUGCACGCCGUCGGUGCCGUCCUCAACACAAUCAAAUCCACCUCACCCUUUUGUGCAUCGCCGCGUGGGUUCCGGAAGGGGCCUGCGCCUUUUACACACACAUGAUUCAGUGUAGAAUGUCCUUUGCAUUUGUAUGCAAUCAAUACAACUUUCAACAACGGAUCUCUUGGCUCUCGCAUCGAUGAAGAACGCAGCGAAAUGCGAUACGUAAUGUGAAUUGCAGAAUUCAGUGAAUCAUCGAAUCUUUGAACGCACCUUGCGCCCCUUGGCAUUCCGAGGGGCACACCCGUUUGAGUGUCGUGAAAUCCUCAACCCUUCUUUGUUUCUUUUCGAUUCGAAGAAAGGCUUGGAAUUUGGAGGCUUUUGCUGGCCUUUCUUGAAGCCAGCUCCUCUUAAAUGCAUUAGCAGGGUCUCCUCAGCUGGAUCCCUUGACGUGAUAAGCCUUUUACGUCUCAAAGGGUUUUCUGGCUCUGCCCGCUUCCAAUUGUCUCGUCGAGACAAACCUUUUUGAACCCUUGACCUCAAAUCGGGUGAGACUACCCGCUGAACUUAAGCAUAUCAAUAAGCGGAGGAAAAGAAACUAACAAGGAUUCCCCUAGUAACUGCGAGUGAAGCGGGAAAAGCUCAAAUUUAAAAUCUGGCGGUCUUUGGCCGUUCGAGUUGUAAUUUAGAGAAGCGUCUUCCGCGCUGGACCGUGCACAAGUCUCCUGGAACGGAGCGUCAUAGAGGGUGAGAAUCCCGUCUUUGGCACGGAACCCCGGUGCUUCUGUGAUGCGCUCUCGAAGAGUCGAGUUGUUUGGGAAUGCAGCUCAAAAUGGGUGGUGAACUCCAUCUAAAGCUAAAUAUUGGCGAGAGACCGAUAGCGAACAAGUACCGUGAGGGAAAGAUGAAAAGCACUUUGGAAAGAGAGUGAAACAGUACGUGAAAUUGUUGAAAGGGAAACGCUUGAAGUCAGUCGCGUCGAUCGAGACUCAGCCUUGCCUCGGCUUGGUGUACUUCUCGACAGACGGGCCAGCAUCAAUUUUGCCUCUCGGAUAAUGGCAAGGGAAAGGUGGCACCCUUACGGGUGUGUUAUAGUCUCCUGUCGCAUGCGAGGGGUGGGAUUGAGGAACUCAGCACGCACCUUUCAGGUGUCGGGGCUUCGGCCCACGUUACGUGCUUAGGAUGUUGGCGUAAUGGCUUUAAACGACCCGUCUUGAAACACGGACCAAGGAGUCUAACAUGCCCGCGAGUGUUCGGGUGGAAAACCCGUGCGCGAAAUGAAAGUGAAAGUUGGGACCUCUGUCGUGGAGGGCACCGACGCCCGGACCAGACCUUCUGUGACGGCUCUGCGGUAGAGCGUGCAUGUUGGGACCCGAAAGAUGGUGAACUAUGCCUGAAUAGGGUGAAGCCAGAGGAAACUCUGGUGGAGGCUCGUAGCGAUUCUGACGUGCAAAUCGAUCGUCAAAUUUGGGUAUAGGGGCGAAAGACUAAUCGAACCAUCUAGUAGCUGGUUCCUGC
rnacentral:misc_RNA from 1 species